rnacentral:rRNA from 1 species
CCUACGGGCGGCUGCAGUGAGGAAUAUUGCGCAAUGGGGGCAACCCUGACGCAGCGACGCCGCGUGGAUGAUGAAGGCCCUUGGGUCGUAAAAUCCUGUCAGAUGGAAAGAAAUGUAUAGCAGUUAAUAUCUGAUAUAUUUGACGGUACCAUCAAAGGAAGCACCGGCUAACUCCGUGCCAGCAGCCGCGGUAAUACGGAGGGUGCAAGCGUUGUUCGGAAUUACUGGGCGUAAAGCGCGCGUAGGCGGUUUGAUAAGUCAGAUGUGAAAGCCCUGGGCUCAACCGGGGACGUGCAUUUGAAACUGGCAGACUUGAGUACUGGAGGGGGUAGUGGAAUUCCUGGUGUAGGGGUGAAAUCCGUAGAUAUCAGGAGGAAUACCGGUGGCGAAGGCGGCCACCUGGCCAGAUACUGACGCUGAGGUGCGAAAGCGUGGGGAGCAAACAGGAUUAGAUACCCUAGUAGUC